rnacentral:rRNA from 1 species
CCCUUAGAUGUUCGGGGCCGCACGCGCGCUACACUGAAUGAAUCAGCGAGUGUAUGUCCUAGGCCGAAAGGUCCGGGUAACCCGUUGAACCUCAUUCGUGAUUGGGAUAGGGACUUGCAAUUGUUUCCCUUGAACGAGGAAUUCCCAGUAAGCGCAAGUCAUCAGCUUGCGUUGAUUACGUCCCUGCCCUUUGUACACACCGCCCGUCGCACCUACCGAUUGGAUGGUCCGGUGAAGCCUCGGGAUUGUGGUUCUUGCCGCUUUAUUGUGGCGUGACCGCGAGAACUUGUCUAAACCUUAUCAUCGAGAGGAAGGUGAAGUCGUAACA